UGUUUGUCUGUAUAGAUACAAUAUCUGGAACCAGCGACAAACAACUGCUCAAACACUGCUCUUUCAUUUUUCCUGAAGGCAGUGGAAAACUAUGGCUGGCCUUCAAGGGUCUGGGGAGAUGAAGGUGCUGAAAAUGUCGCAAUUGCUGAAACCAUGUUCAGUGUUAAAGGCACUGGAAGAGGAAGCUUCAUCGCUGGCCGAGGUGUACACAACCAAAGGAUUGAGCGGCUAUGGCGAGAUGUCUGGACCAGUGUCACUCAUCUGUACUAUGAAGUUCUUCACAAUCUAGAAGAAGAUGGCCUGUUGGAUUUGUCAGAGGCUGUAUCUGUUUUGUGCCCACUAUGCAUUCCUCCCGCGUCUGGCAGAGGCCCUUCACAUCUUCACAGUGGGCGGGGACAACCAUCCCAUACGAUCUGAAGGUGGACUCUCCCCUAACCAACUCUGGGUUAUGGGUCACAUGCUGAACCCUUGUGACCCAGAUGAAGAUUUGCAGAACAUGGAGCUGUUUGGAACUGACUGGGAGAUGUUUGAUGGUGUGCCUGAAGAACCUUAUGGAGUUGAAGUCCCACAAAUUGAGUGUCCAAUGACUCCAGCUAUUAUGGAAACUGUACAGUCCAUGAUCAAUCCUUCAGCAUCGUCAGAAUCAUUUGGCAGAGACAUUUACAUAGCAAUGGUUCAGUGCAUUGAAAGUCUGAAAAAAAGAAAUGUCUAAGAUAUAAUCAGUCGUUGCAAA